rnacentral:rRNA from 1 species
GCAUAUCAAUAAGCGCGGAGGAAAAGAAACCAACAGGGAUUGCCUUAGUAACGGCGAGUGAAGCGGCAAAAGCUCAAAUUUGAAAUCUGGCACCUUCGGUGUCCGAGUUGUAAUUUGAAGAAGGUAACUUUGGAGUUGGCUCUUGUCUAUGUUCCUUGGAACAGGACGUCACAGAGGGUGAGAAUCCCGUGCGAUGAGAUGCCCAAUUCUAUGUAAAGUGCUUUCGAAGAGUCGAGUUGUUUGGGAAUA